rfam:Heterocephalus glaber contig27963, whole genome shotgun sequence.
GGGGGUGCAGCUCAGUGGUAGAGCACUUGCUUAGCACGCAGGAGGCUCUGGGUUCAAUCUCCUGCAUCACAC